UUACCCCUCCUCUUUCCGUGCCCGGCCCCCAACCUCAAGACGGCACUGUCCCACUCUCCCGUCACCUCCCCAUCCCUCCCCUGAACUCUUCGAAGCUUCUCUCUCUCUGGCCAAAAAAAAAAAAAAAAAAAAAAAUCCUUCCCUGGCACUAUAAAUACCCUUACCGAUCGCCGCCGGAGGCGCGCGAUUGGAAACCCUAGCACCACUGCGAUCACCGAAACCCGGCAGGAACCCUAGCCCUAAUGGCGCAGGCGGCCGCUGCAAAGGAGCUCCGGUUGGUCGAUCCACAUGUCUGGAAGGCCUGCGCCGGAACCGCUGCCAAAAUCCCCUCCGUCGGUUCGCGCGUGUACUAUUUCCCCCAGGGUCAUGCCGAGCAGUCCUCCUCCACGCCGGACUUCUCCGCCGUCCCCUGCCGCCGCCCCUUCGUCCUAUGCUCGGUCUCCGCCGUCCGCUUUCUCGCCAACCCCGAUUCCGACGAGGUCUUCGCCCAGAUCGACCUCGACCCCCGCUUUCUCCCGCCGGCGGCUGCGCCGCCCCCGGCGGACAUCGUCGACGGCGGCGGCGGCGGCGGCGGGGGUGGGGGAGUGGUGUCGUUCGCGAAGAUCCUGACUCCGAGCGACGCGAACAACGGCGGGGGCUUCUCGGUGCCGAGGUUCUGCGCGGACUCGAUUUUUCCGGGGCUGGACUUCAAGGCGGACCCGCCGGUCCAGACCAUCUCGGUUCGGGAUGUGCAUGGGGCCCGGUGGGAUUUCCGGCACAUCUACCGGGGCACGCCGCGGCGGCACCUGCUGACCACCGGCUGGAGCAAGUUCGUCAACUGCAAGAAGCUCGUCGCCGGGGACUCGGUCGUGUUCAUCAAGAACCAGGCCGGCGAGCUCUUCGUCGGUGUACGCCGCAACGGCCGGUCCUGUGGCUCGUUGGACUAUCUGCCCUAUAGCCCCCCGGCAGGAGCGGGGGUUAAACUCGAAGAGAGCCUCGGCAGCGGUGAAGGGUUCUCGAGGAAUGUGAGGGGCCGGGUUCCGGCUUCGUCGGUGGUGGACGCGGUCCGAUUGGCGGAGAUGAACUGCCCGUUUGAGGUCCUUUACUACCCGAGGUCCGGGUCGCCGGACUUUGUGGUGGCCGAGGAGGUUGUAGAGUCGGCGAUGAGGGUGUAUUGGACUGCCGGAAUGCGGGUUAAGAUGUCCGUGGACACGGAAGAUAUGUCCAGGAUGACCUGGUUUCAGGGGACGGUGUCGUCGGCUGCGCUCAAGGAUGUGGGCCCAUGGCCCGGUUCACCAUGGCGUAUGCUUCAGGUUACCUGGGAUGAACCAGAGGUUUUGCAGAAUGUCAGAAGUGUAAAUCCCUGGCAGGUGGAGCUAGUUUCAGCCCCUCCUCAGAUACAAACUCCAUAUCCCCUCAUGAAGAAACUAAGGGGGCCACAAAGUCAAGACUUUUCUGAUGUUGGAGAGGGCAGCAUGCUCUUUCCAGUAACAGGUUUUAAGAGUAAAUCCAUGGGGAAUCUAUCCCCAUUGAUCAAUAACAAUACAUUUCCUGCUGGCAUGCAGGGAGCCAGGCAUGAUCAAAUCUGUGUCCCCACUUUAUUCAAUUUCAUACCCUUGAAUGGCCAACAAACACUCUCUGAGAAUCUGUAUGGCGCUAAGAUGCAACAGAAGUUAAAUAAUGUAUCCACUAAUUCGAAUGUUGGAAGUACGUUAAUUUCAGAGGGCUCAUCCCCACUGAGCAAUGGAAGUAUCCUGGACUGUGGCACAGAUCUCCUCAAAACUGUGGCUUGCAAUCCGACUAGGAAGACUAGGGGAGGAUCUUUUCAGUUGUUUGGUCAGAUUAUCCAGACUGAGCAGCCUGUUGAUGUUGCUGCAGAUAAAGAGUAUAGAGAGACCACAGGUGGAGUCCUACCGCAUGAUUUUUCUCUCUCCUACCAACAUAAGCAGUUGCUUGAUGGUCUUGAUGUGCAACGUCAAAGAGUUUCUGCUUUGGAAGCAUGUUCUAUGUAAAAGAAAUGAUGUCUGCAUCUUACCACAUGCAGCCUCUACAGGUGUCCUUGUUGAAGACAACAUGAAUGUUGCCUCUUGCAACUAAAUCAUCCUAAUGCGUUGUCUUGAGCAGUGUGUUAACCUAGUGUGUUUCCAACUGUUAUGUUGACUUCUUCAUGUUACUGUUGAACUCGCUUGUCUGAAAUUUCCGAGUCGUUGUUGAGUAAGAAUGAGAAGAGAUGCUGUGAUUGGGUGGGACUAGUCUCUUCCAUUUCCUCCUUUUCUCAGGGAAGUCAGGAAGAAGAAGGAAAAAAGAAUGAGAAGAGAUGCUAUUUCAAAGAUAUCCAAAAUUAUCCUUCUUUUGAUGGUCUUUUCUAUUCACAUUGAUCCUAAAGGUUUUCGCUGUUUUGAGUAUGCCUGGUGCGAAAAAGAUAACAAGGGUUUGUGGGUAGCACAGAGGAAAGAAGAGUGAUGCUGAUGGAAGGAAAUUUAUAUUAAAGGGGAGGAAAUAUAAAUUAUGAAGGUCGACCCUGCUUUGAAUGGUUUGGUAUCUGUACUUGUACUCCUUGCACAACUUGGGAAGCUUUAUGAUAUAUGUAUAUUUAAUGGAUUUGCAUUCAUCUGCAGCAUUAACAAGAACAUUAGUGUUAAUCUCUCCUGCUGUCCUAGACUCGUUAGUUACUGAUGCUACAGUUUUGAUGCAAACUUUAGCGGCUGGAUGAUCCAUACUGCAGUUAGGUACCCUGACGUUACCUCUUUGAAGUUGUGCUGGGUUGGGUUGUGAUAUUACUGAAUUCAGUUAAUGUCAGGCCUUCCCUUAUCUAAUCAUCUCUCAAGCAUGUAGAAUAUAUCUUUGGGGCUUCAGCUUCACAAGAAAAGAAAUGCCGUGCCUUGCGAUUUUCUGCAGCUGUGAAAAUUUUUUUUCUUCUAAUAUGGGGUGAAACUGAUACAGUAGUUGAUAGAAGGAAGUUGCCGGGAAACUGGUCUCAUGUCUGUGGAAGUGGCUGUGGUCUCCAAUUGUUGGAUUGACCUGGAUCCGAAGUGUUCCCAAAAAACCUGGCAUGGGAAGACUACAUAAAUCCAGUAUGAGCCAGUCAAGAUUUUGUCGAACCUGAUCUGCCUUGUUCGCAUAAUUGCAUCAAUAAAUUGCUGCUAGCUUGGAC